UCACCUUUUCUAUGUGCACUCCGCAAACCGAGACCUAUAGGGUGCCUAAACGAGUCUCUCAUACCUCCGCCUGAGGGUGGCGAAGGAAUAUUUUAUCAG
rfam:Synechococcus phage metaG-MbCM1, complete genome.